rnacentral:tRNA from 1 species
GCGCCAUAAGACCUGGUAACUCUUUAAUCUGGGACUAACCCCCAGUUCCUUCUACCA